rnacentral:lncRNA from 1 species
UUAACAGCUCGCACAGCGUUCCUGUUGACGUGUUGUUGCUGAGAGCACUUUCCAGUAAUCUUUCUGAACACAAAUCACCAGCUCAAUCUGUUUCCUGGGGAACUUGAACUACAACAGAAUGAUACUGGGGAGUUUGCAAAAUCAAACUAAACAUAGGCAGCACGAAGGACACAAAGCAGGGGAGCCCCAGAAAUCUUAGUGGUAGAAACCUUUAAACCUCUUAGGGUACCACCAGGGUAUCUCUGCUCAAUAUUUAAAUCCCUGGAAGGGAGCCUCUGAUUGGCCUUGUUUGGGUUGGGAAUCAGGGCCCUGUGAUCAGAACUACCUGGGAUAGUGGAGAGGAAAGAGAAGCAACCUGUGUCUUCCAGACCAUGGUAUCUGAAGUUUUCUUGGAGGAAGUCAAAUAAAUAUGUGGGUUGAGGAUGGGAGCUCUAAGCAGAGGAUGUGGUGGCUCAUUUAAGAUCACACAUUGACAAAGAGCAGAGUGGUGUCAAGAUUCUGGGACAGAGGCAAGUUAGAGAUAAAACUCUUGUUUUUCC